ensembl:lncRNA
GGGAAGUCCAGCUAUCAGGGAAGCUUCCCCAAUCAGGGAAGCAUGAAGUUUUAACCACUGGACCGUCAGAGAAGUCCCUCUUUUUACAUUUUUUAAUGUAGCUACCAGAAAAUUGAAAAUUAAGUGCAUGGCUCACAUUUUUGCCUUGCGUUACAUUUCUUUUGAACAGUGAGCGCUGUUCUGGAACCUCACCACUUAGUGUUGUCCCUGCUCAAGCAGCAUCAGCAUUUCCAGAAAGCUCGUGAGGAAUAGACUCUCAGAGCUCAGCCCAGACCUAAAGAAUCAGAAUCUUCAUUUUAGUCAGAUUCCUGGGGGAUUCAAGUGCGAGAAGCUGCCCUCAGAGGACUUCCUGUAGGUUCAGCUGAUCCGUCUGCUUCCAGGAAGGCAUGCUGGUGUGGCCACUGCACGGUGACAUACUGGACAGCAAGUAAGAGACUUGUAGAGUGUUGCUGCAGAUUCUGUUUUUUUUUUCUUCCUUCCCUGCCUCCCAGCAUGGACCCUUGGGUUGAGGUGAACUUCCACAGGGAGUCUAUGGCCUGAUAAUAUUUUCCAAGGUGGGCUGGGAGCUGGGGUGGGGAAAAGCAGGUGUGUCACCAUAGAAGAGGGAAGCCUCAGACAAGAAGACAAAGUCCUUGUUUGGUCUCAAGUUAAUGGUUAACCUACUAUGGAGAAAGAAGCAGUUGAGACGGUGGACUUUAGUUUCUGGCUGUUUCUCUACAAACUUCUGUGGCCUUGGUUUAAUUAUCCCCCUGUCUUGCAGAACAGCAAAUGCUGGGAUAGACCGGACCCUUUGACACCCAAGUCUUGUGAACUAGGGGACAGAGCCAAGAAGAGUGAGGAGAUUUUUCAAUAUUCAGAGAAAAGAAUGAGGAGACCUGAGGGAGAACUAAACAUGUAUCUUCUGCUGUGCAUGGAAAUGAUGAUUUUCAUAAAGAAAAUAAAUGUACAUGCAAUAAAGCCCAGAGAUAUAAAUGCAGAAAUGAAUAACAAGCUCAAGGCAGAUUCUUUACCAGCUGAGCCACAAGGGAAGCCCUCUGGUCUAUUUGGAGCAUCAGUUAGGUCCAAGAUCUCAAAGGGUGAAGCCUGGGCUCCUGCAUUUAAGUAACUCCCCAGGUAAUGUCUAUGCAUAUCAACAUUUUGGGACUAUGACUUUGUCAUAAAUGUUUGUAAGUAUGUUUCUUAAAAAUGUUUGUUGGAACACUUCGUUUACAAAUGCAUUACAUUUUUUUUUUCUACAGAAAAUUUGGAAAAUGUGAAAAAGGAGAAGGAAGGCAAAAUCAGGCCUUGAACCGCUCUAUCUGCUAUACUUUCCCAUGCAUCUCAUUCAAUUUCCUUUUCUUUUACAAUGUAUGUAUGGUAUGUGUAGGGUUUCUAGAUGGCUCAGUGAUAAAGAACCUGCCUGCAAUUCAGGAGACACAGGAGCCAUGGGUUUGAUCCCUGGUUUGGGACGAUCCCCUAGAGGAGAGCAUGGCAACCCACUCCAGUAUUCUUGCCUGGAGAAUCUUGUGGACAGAGGAGCCUGGCAGGCUACAGUCCAUAGGGUGGCAGAGUCGUUCAUGACUGAAAUAAUUUAUCACACACAUAAGAAUGUAUUUAUUCAAAGACGUGUGUGCACUUAGCUGAAAAGUCAGUGCAUAUCAAAGGCUUAUAAAAAAAAGCACUCAUUUCCUGUUCUGUUUGUAUCUGCUCUCCAUAGCCCUGCAUUGAGAACUCAAUGGUUGUUUCUUCUGUAUUUACUUCAUACUGAUUCAUAGCAUGCUUAUGUUACUGUGUAGUAUUUGUCCAUUCAGACACCAUCUCUUGGCUCCCUGCAGUUGAAGAAUUAGCUCCUUACGUGCUCCUCCCUUCUGUCUGCUUUUCUGUUCCCCAUCCUCCCCAAAUCACAGUUGAGGGGUAAAUUAAUGUCCCGCCUCUUUGCUGCUCGAUUACACUCAUGAAAUAAAAUUCAUAUUUUAUGGCA